CGUUGCAGUUAAGGUUUACUGUGAUGUGCAUUACUACGGAACAUCUUCAGGCUGCGGCACUUAUUGUUUAGCGAGAGACAACUGUGAAGGCCAUUAUGAUUGUAAUGAUACUACAGGAGCAAGGGUUUGUCACUCAGGAUGGGACGGAUCUUACUGCAAUAUAACUGGAUCCAGUUCUGGAGAGACCAACACCAGUCAAAGUGCAACAUGUGAUUGCGAAAGUGAUCCAACGGGAAUCAACUACAGGGGAUACCUAUCGCAGACGAGCUCAGGCUUUACCUGUCAAACAUGGAGCACACGCUGGCAAAACUGGCCCUCGUUUCUGUACAACGGGAACUUAGCCGAUGAGACAUUGGACCACAACUAUUGCAGAAACCCAGGUGGACUUGGACUCACUACUUGGUGCUUCACCACUGGUAAUGCGAAUCAACUGGAGUAUUGCGCUGUCGGAUCUUUUGACCCUGCGUGUAAUAAUUCUGCUAUAUCAGGAGGUAAGUGAGUGCAUGUUAA